rnacentral:rRNA from 1 species
GUCGCACGAGAACGCUUCAGCUUGCUGAAGUUAGUAAAGUGGCGCACGGGUGAGUAUCGCGUGGGUAAUCUACCUCUGAAUUGGGGAUAACAUUGCGAAAGCGAUGCUAAUACCGAAUAACAUCUUAAAUACUUCGGUAUUUAAGAUCAAAGGUGGCCUCUACGUGUAAGCUACUGUUUGGAGAUGAGCCCGCGUACCAUUAGCUUGUUGGUAGGGUAACGGCCUACCAAAGCGACGAUGGUUAGCUGGUCUGAGAGGAUGAUCAGCCACACUGGAACUGACACACGGUCCAGACUCCUACGGGAGGCAGCAGUGAGGAAUUUUGCGCAAUGGGGGAAACCCUGACGCAGCAACGCCGCGUGAGUGAUGAAGGCUUUCGGGUCGUAAAGCUCUGUCAAGUGGGAAGAAACUGCCCCGUGCUAAUAUCACGGGAUACUGACGGUACCACUGAAGGAAGCACCGGCUAACUCCGUGCCAGCAGCCGCGGUAAUACGGGGGGUGCGAGCGUUAUUCGGAAUCAUUGGGCGUAAAGGGCGCGUAGGCGGUCUCUUAAGUCAGGUGUGAAAGCCUUCCGCUUAACGGAAGAAGUGCACUUGAAACUAAGGGACUUGAGUAUGGGAGAGGGAAGUGGAAUUCCUGGUGUAGCGGUGAAAUGCGUAGAUAUCAGGAGGAACACCGGUGGCGAAGGCGACUUCCUGGACCAAUACUGACGCUGAGGCGCGAAGGCGUGGGGAGCAAACAGGAUUAGAUA